GACGAACGCUGGCGGCGUGCUUAACGCAUGCAAGUCGAACGGAAAGGCCCUGCUUUUGUGGGGUGCUCGAGUGGCGAACAGGUGAGUAACACGUGAGUAACCUGCCCUUGACUUUGGGAUAACUUCAGGAAACUGGGGCUAAUACCGGAUAGGAGCUCCUGCUGCAUGGUGGGGGUUGGAAAGUUUCGGCGGUUGGGGAUGGACUCGCGGCUUAUCAGCUUGUUGGUGGGGUAGUGGCUUACCAAGGCUUUGACGGGUAGCCGGCCUGAGAGGGUGACCGGCCACAUUGGGACUGAGAUACGGCCCAGACUCCUACGGGAGGCAGCAGUGGGGAAUAUUGCACAAUGGGCGGAAGCCUGAUGCAGCAACGCCGCGUGCGGGAUGACGGCCUUCGGGUUGUAAACCGCUUUCGCCUGUGACGAAGCGUGAGUGACGGUAAUGGGUAAAGAAGCACCGGCUAACUACGUG
rnacentral:rRNA from 1 species